rnacentral:rRNA from 1 species
UACGGAGGAUGCAAGCGUUAUCCGGAAUGAUUGGGCGUAAAGCGUCCGCAGGUGGCAAUGUAAGUCUGCUGUUAAAGAGUCUAGCUCAACUAGAUAAAAGCAGUGGAAACUACAUAGCUAGAGUACGUUCGGGGCAGAGGGAAUUCCUGGUGUAGCGGUGAAAUGCGUAGAGAUCAGGAAGAACACCAGUGGCGAAGGCGCUCUGCUAGGCCGUAACUGACGCUGAGACGCGAAAGCUAGGGGAGCGAACAGG